CACGUAGGGCGCGAGCGUUGUCCGGAAUUAUUGGGCGUAAAGAGCUCGUAGGCGGCCUGUUGCGUCCGCUGUGAAAAGCCCGGGGGCUUAACCCCCGGGUCUGCAGUGGAUACGGGCAGGCUAGAGGUAGGUAGGGAGAAUGGAAUUCCCGGUGUAGCGGUGAAAUGCGCAGAUAUCGGGAGGAACACCGGUGGCGAAGGCGGUUCUCUGGGCCUUACCUGACGCUGAGGAGCGAAAGCGUGGGAGCGAAACAGGG
rnacentral:rRNA from 1 species